CCUACGGGAGGCAGCAGUGAGGAAUAUUGGUCAAUGGGCGCUAGCCUGAACCAGCCAAGUAGCGUGAAGGAUGACUGCCCUAUGGGUUGUAAACUUCUUUUAUAUGGGAAUAAAGUGCAGUAUGUAUACUGCUUUGCAUGUACCUUAUGUAUAAGGAUCGGCUAACUCCGUGCCAGCCGCCGCGGUAAUACGGAGGAGCCGAGCGUUAACCGGAUUUAUGGUGGUUAAAGGGAGCGUAGGCGGGUUGUUAAGUCAGUUGGGAAAGUUUGCGGCCCAACCGUGAAAUUGCAGUUGAUACUGGCAACCUUGAGUACAGUAGAGGUAGGCGGAAUUCGUGGUGUAGCGGUGAAAUGCGUAGAUAUCACGAAGAACACCGAUGGCGAAGGCGGCCUGCUGGACUGUAACUGACGCUGAGGCUCGAAAGUGUGGGUAUCAAACAGGAUUAGAUACCCCUGUAGUC
rnacentral:rRNA from 1 species